AGUCGGGUGUAGACCUAACAGAGCAGCUUGUGUGAUGCAGUCACAAGGCCGAGCUUUCAUAAGACGUAGAAGCAAAUACAUAUGUUGAAGCUCUACGAGAUUCUGCAGAGCAUGCGCCUACAAGCAACCUAUGAUGCCUAGCCUCUGUGUCACACCCAGGAACCCCACGCUCUUUCCUGCUUCUAUAAUGUGAAAACUGAAUAAAUAUUUAUGUAAAACGGCGUUUUUUGAUGAAAUUAUCAUGAUGGUAGUAAUGACAUGGUGAAAUGAGUUGUUUUAUUUCGUGUUUGAGGAUUUUCAAAUUCAAUCUGGCCUGUACAUAAUGUCUGAAUGUUUAUGUUAUUGACGUUUUCUGUGGUACGUAAAAAUAUCUAAAAUUGAAACAGUUGUAAAUGAUAUAACAAAGACACCGGGUAAUUUGUAAAUAAUAAAAAUUGCGCAUUCCUGCGGUUUUAACACACUAAAAGAAAAUUACUAAAACAGUUUUUUAACAACCUACAUUUAUAGUUUAAAAAUGUAUAAAUUUACAAUCGUGCUUUUGAAAAAUUCACUUUGAAUUUUUAAAUAGCAUAAGGGAAUUUGACAUGCUGGAUUCAAUUUUCCUAUAUUUUUAAAUAUAAGACUGGUCCAUUUUCCACCCAUUUCGGUUCCAUAAAUCGAUUUAUAUUUGGUGACCUAUUCUUCAUAUGAAUAUUUCAUUUUGAAAUUUAAACAGAAAAAUGAAAAAGUGGGAAGAUUCUAAUGCAACCUAAAACACUUUUUUAAUGGCAACAGUUGAAAAUUGCCUCUUCUAAAUAUUUUCAGGGUAGAAUGUAGAACCCAUUUUUUUCGGUUCUUUAGUAUAGUACUUGAAUUAUAUUUCUAAAUUCCUUCAUAUUUUUGUGGCCAGUUUCAGAUUUCACAUAUCCUCAAAUGUACGGUAAAUAAUUUUCAUUAAUAACAAAUUGA